rnacentral:rRNA from 1 species
GCCCCCCGGGCUCUCUGGUGAAUCAUGAUAACUUCGCGAAUCGCAGGGCCUUGCGCCGGCGAUGGUUCAUUCGAAUUUCUUCCCUAUCAACUUUCGAUGUUUGGGUAGUGGCCAAACAUGGUUGCAACGGGUAACGGAGGGUUAGGGCUCGACCCCGGAGAAGGAGCCUGAGAAACGGCUACUACAUCCAAGGAAGGCAGCAGGCGCGCAAAUUACCCAAUCCCGACACGGGGAGGUAGUGACAAUAAAUACUGAUACAGGGCUCUUUCGGGUCUUGUAAUUGGAAUGAGUACAAUUUAAAUCCCUUAACGAGGAACAAUUGGAGGGCAAGUCUGGUGCCAGCAGCCGCGGUAAUUCCAGCUCCAAUAGCGUAUAUUAAAGUUGUUGUGGUUAAAAAGCUCGUAGUUGAACCUUGGGCCUGGCUGGCCGGUCCGCCUCACCGCGUGCACUGGUCCGGCCGGGCCUUUCCCUCUGUGGAACCCCAUGCCCUUCGCUGGGCGUGGCGGGGAGACAGGACUUUUACUUUGAAAAAAUUAGAGUGCUCCAGGCAGGCCUAUGCUCGAAUACAUUAGCAUGGAAUAAUGAAAUAGGACGCGCGGUUCUAUUUUGUUGGUUUCUAGGACCGCCGUAAUGAUUAAUAGGGACAGUCGGGGGCAUCAGUAUUCAAUUGUCAGAGGUGAAAUUCUUGGAUUUAUUGAAGACUCACUACUGCGAAAGCA